rnacentral:rRNA from 1 species
GUGACGAAGCGACGCCGCGUGGAUGAAGAAGGCCUUCGGGUUGUAAAAUCCUGUCAGGAGUUAAGAAAUAUAAGUUUGCGAAUACCAAACUUAUUUGACAAAGGCUCCAAAGGAAGCCACGGCUAACUCUGUGCCAGCAGCCGCGGUAAUACAGAGGUGGCAAGCGUUGUUCGGAAUUAUUGGGCGUAAAGAGCACGUAGGUGGAUUUGUUAGUCAGAUGUGAAAGCCUUCUGUUCAACGGAAGAAUUGCAUCUGAAACUACAAACCUUGAGUAUAGGAGGGGAGAGUGGAACUUCUGGUGGAGCGGUGAAAUGCGUAGAUAUCAGAAGGAACGCCGGCGGCGAAAGCGACUCUCUGGCCUAUAUCUGACACUGAGUGUGCGAAAGCUAGGGGAGCAAACGGGAUUAGAUACCCCGGUAGUCCUAGCCGUAAACGAUGGGCACUAAGUAGAGGGGUUUU